UGGAAGUAAAAGUCGUAACAAGGUCUCCGUUGGUGAACCAGCGGAGGGAUCAUUACCGAGUUUACAACUCCCAAACCCAAUGUGAACGUUACCAAUCUGUUGCCUCGGCGGGAUUCUCUGCCCCGGGCGCGUCGCAGCCCCGGAUCCCAUGGCGCCCGCCGGAGGACCAACUCAAACUCUUUUUUCUCUCCGUCGCGGCCUACGUCGCGGCUCUGUUUUAUUUUUGCUCUGAGCCUUUCUCGGCGACCCUAGCGGGCGUCUCGAAAAUGAAUCAAAACUUUCAACAACGGAUCUCUUGGUUCUGGCAUCGAUGAAGAACGCAGCGAAAUGCGAUAAGUAAUGUGAAUUGCAGAAUUCAGUGAAUCAUCGAAUCUUUGAACGCACAUUGCGCCCGCCAGUAUUCUGGCGGGCAUGCCUGUCCGAGCGUCAUUUCAACCCUCGAACCCCUCCGGGGGGUCGGCGUUGGGGAUCGGCCCCUCACCGGGCCGCCCCCGAAAUACAGUGGCGGUCUCGCCGCAGCCUCUCCUGCGCAGUAGUUUGCACACUCGCACCGGGAGCGCGGCGCGGCCACAGCCGUAAAACACCCCAAACUCUGAAAUGUUGACCUCGGAUCAGGUAGGAAUACCCGCUGAACUUAAGCAUAUCAAUAAGCGGAGGA
rnacentral:rRNA from 1 species